rnacentral:rRNA from 1 species
AGAGUUUGAUCCUGGCUCAGAACGAACGCUGGCGGCGUGCUUAACACAUGCAAGUCGAGUGCGCGCCUGUAGCAAUACAGGUGGCGCACGGCGCACGGGUGCGUAACACGUGGGCAAUCUGCCCUCUGAUGGGGAAUAACCCGCCGAAAGGCGGGCUAAUACCGCAUAAAAUUCCUUGGACUUAUGUUCGAGGACUCAAAGGCGUAAGUCGUCGGAGGAGGAGCCCGCGCACGAUUAGCUAGUUGGUAGGGUAAUGGCCUACCAAGGCUUUGAUCGUUAGCUGGUCUGAGAGGAUGGCCAGCCACACUGGAACUGAGACACGGUCCAGACUCCUACGGGAGGCAGCAGUGGGGAAUCUUGCACAAUGGGCGAAAGCCUGAUGCAGCGACGCCGCAUGGGGGAUGAAGCAUUUCGGUGUGUAAACCCCUUUCGAUCCGGACGAAUACCUCGCAAGAGGGGUGACGGUACGGAUAUAAGAAGCCCCGGCUAACUACGUGCCAGCAGCCGCGGUAAGACGUAGGGGGCCAGCGUUGUUCGGAAUUACUGGGUGUAAAGGGUUCGUAGGCGGUGUGGCAAGUUGGGAGUGAAAUCUCUGGGCUCAACCCAGAGACUGCUUCCAAAACUGCUGUGCUUGAGUGUGAGAGAGGCUCGUGGAAUUGCAGGUGUAGCGGUGAAAUGCGUAGAUAUCUGCAGGAACACCCGUGGCGAAAGCGGCGAGCUGGAUCACUACUGACGCUGAGGAACGAAAGCUAGGGGAGCAAACAGGAUUAGAUACCCUAGUAGUCC